rnacentral:misc_RNA from 1 species
GAAGUGCGAUAAGCAAUGCGAAUUGCAGAACCGUGAGUCAUCAGAUUUUUGAACGCAACUGGCGCCUGCUGGCUAUCCAGCAGGCAUGCUUGUUUCAGUGUCUUAUUUUCUCCUCAACCAAAUCUUAAUGCGAGAGAUAACCUUCUCUUGUUAAGCAUGAAAGCACUCUGCGCUUUGCAAGUGGCUUCUUCGACUUGUUCGAUAGCCACACUCAAUGAAGCCGUCACAUUGCUUCAAUGUGAACUCAUUGAGAGUAGAGGCAGCGCAUUUUUAAUGCAAAGUGCUUAGCCACUUAAACUUUUUUUGCAUCUGAAAUCAAGCAGGACCACCCGCUGAACUUAA